ACAGCAAAUUCCAUGGGAAAAGACAUGUUGAGUAAUUUACCUGAUGAAAUUCUGGGUCGCAUAGUUUCUUUUCUACCAAAUGAAUCAGCACUAGAAACCAGCCUCCUUUCCACUAGAUGGAGAGAUCUAUGGAAUGAAGUUCUUGUCAGGCAUGGAACUGAAGAGGAUAUCAUAGGUGUUGUUGCUGGCUUCAUGACACGUUUUGAGGAGGUUGAUCCAUUGAAGCAUCCCAGAAAACUUCAAUUUCACUUUGCUGAAGAGGGUGUAGUCUCAGCAACUGUUGCAAAUAAUAAUAAGCUCAUGCUUGAAUUCUCACCUUGGAAGGAAGAGCUUCAAAUGGGGUACUAUGAGUUGGUGUUCAACCUAAGUAAGCAACAAAACAUAACCACCUACCAAUGUUUUCCCUUCACUUUCUCAGUCAAAACCCUCUAUUUGAAAUCAGUGAGCUCUUUCACAAGUGAGGUAGCUACCUCAAUCAUUUCAAAUUUGGAUCAUCUUGAGAAUUUGGUGAUCAUUCACUGCAAAGGGUUGCAAACUUUGAGUAUUGACUCCACUUCUGAGCUUCACAAGUUAACCAUCCUGGAUUGCUUGGAGUUGAAGUCUCUCCAUCUCAAAACUUCUAAACUCAAGUCUUUUCGGUAUCGUGGGCCUCUCCCUUUGAUUAGGCCGGAAUAUCAUUUCAACCUGAGUGAUGCCAUGCUUGAUUUCAGACUAGGAUUCAGCUGCAGUGGUUUAAAGACCAAGGAUUUUGAUGCAACCCUAUUGACAAUAAAGAACUCUGAAGUUCUUACUCUUUGUAGAUGGACUUUUGAGGUUUUCUUUUUCAGGAAUUAAUAUGGCCUUCGAUUUCUCCUCUAUCUGGGAGCUUCAGAUUCUACAAAUUAAGAGAGUUAUGGUGGAUUGACAACUAUGAAUACAACAUGGAUGCCUUAUUCUUCUUCUUGAAAUUAUGCCCUUCCUUGGAGCAACUUUUUGUGACUAUUGAUCCUGAAAGCUAUUCAGCUGGAAGGUCCAAUUCAUGCUCAAUGAAAGGGACUAAAUGUACGGAACUGGAAAAUCUUAAACUCAUAAAAUUUAUGGGGUUUACAAGUCGAAAAGAUGAAAUCUCAUUGGCAAAAUGUUUAAUUCAUUUGAUCAAGGGAAAGCCUCCAAACAUAAAGAGUUCGGAUGGGAGUUGCUUGGAUGCCAUGUUUGUGCAGUGAGUUUUACAUAAUCACAGCAAACAAAGACUUUCUGCAAGUAUGACAGAAAGGAAUGAACAAUUCAUGUACUAAGCAUGCAUUCAAGGUAUUAUUACAAAUACAUUUGUUUCUUGUCUCCUACUGGUUCUUUUAGUGGUCUUGAAGCAAGGGUAUUUGUGGAUAAAAUUUAUUCAAAUUUGAAGAAUAAAAACCAACUGAUAAUCUAAUCUUUU